rnacentral:rRNA from 1 species
AUUACGGGAGGCAGCAGUGGGGAAUAUUGGACAAUGGACCAAAAGUCUGAUCCAGCAAUUCUGUGUGCACGAUGAAGGUCUUCGGAUUGUAAAGUGCUUUCAGUUGGGAAGAAGCAAGUGACGGUACCAACAGAAGAAGCGACGGCUAAAUACGUGCCAGCAGCCGCGGUAAUAAU